rnacentral:rRNA from 1 species
UGGGGAUUAUUGGACAAUGGGGGGAACCCUGAUCCAGCCAUGCCGCGUGUGUGAAGAAGGCCUUAUGGUUGUAAAGCACUUUAAGCGAGGAGGAGGGUACUGGUAUUAAUACUACCAGGUACUGGACGUUACUCGCAGAAUAAGCACUGGCUAACUCUGUGCCAGCAGCCGCGGUAAUACAGAGGGUGCGAGCGUUAAUCGGAUUUACUGGGCGUAAAGCGUGCGUAGGCGGCUAAUUGAGUCGGAUGUGAAAUCACCGAGCUUAACUUGGGAAUUGCAUUCGAUACUGGUUAGCUAGAGUGUGGGAGAGGAUGGUAGAAUUCCAGGUGUAGCGGUGAAAUGCGUAGAGAUCUGGAGGAAUACCGAUGGCGAAGGCAGCCAUCUGGCCUAACACUGACGCUGAGGUACGAAAGCAUGGGGAGCAAACAAG